AUACUUACCUGGCAGGGGAGACACCAUGAUCAGGCAAGUGGUUUUCCCAGGGCGAGGCUCAUCCUCUGCGCUCCGGGUGUGCUGACCCCUGUGAUUUCCCCAAAUGCAGGAAACUCGACUGCAUAAUUUG
rnacentral:snRNA from 1 species